AUACUUACCUUCUUGAAACCGGCUUGCUCACGAAUAAGCUUGGUUGUACGACGAGACCUCCAUUGCACAGCGGGGUGUCAAGACGUACUGAGUCUCCUUCGGGGGCCUCAUCGGGGGAAUUUUUGAUUGCAUUCCCAUGCGGGCAACC
rnacentral:snRNA from 14 species